rnacentral:rRNA from 1 species
UCAAAAUGAAAUUGACGGGGGGCCCGCACAAGCGGUGGAGCAUGUGGUUUAAUUCGAUGCAACGCGAAGAACCUUUACCUACUCUUGACAUCCAGAGAACUUUUCCAGAGAUGGAUUGGUGCCUUCGGGAACUCUGAGACAGGUGCUGCAUGGCUGUCGUCAGCUCGUGUUGUGUAAUGUUGGGUUAAGUCCCGCAACGAGCGCAACCCUUAUCCUUUGUUGCCAGCGGUCCGGCCGGGAACUCAAAGGAGACUGCCAGUGAUAAACUGGAGGAAGGUGGGGAUGACGUCAAGUCAUCAUGGCCCUUACGAGUAGGGCUACACACGUGCUACAGUGGCGCAUACAAAGAGAAGCGAACUCGCGAGAGCAAGCGGACCUCAUAAAGUGCAUCGUAGUCCGGAUUGGAGUCUGCAACUCGACUCCAUGAAGUCGGAAUCGCUAGUAAUCGUAGAUCAGAAUGCUACGGUGAAUACGUUCCCGGGCCUUGUACACACCGCCCGUCACACCAUGGGAGUGGGUUGCAAAAGAAGUAGGUAGCUUAACCUUCGGGAGGGCGCUUACCACUUUGUGAUUCAGGACUGGGGUGAAGUCGUAACAAGGUAAC